rnacentral:misc_RNA from 1 species
UGGCAAGCCAGCUCCCACAGGGGUAUUCAGUGAACACAGAUUAAGUGGACACUGAGAACCCUGUGGGAGCUGGCUUGCCA